rnacentral:lncRNA from 1 species
UCCAUCGAUAUGAAAUCUUGAUCGAAGAGUCCCAAACCAGUGAGACUCUUGACCCCGGUACCCAAAAUAUGUGGAACUUGUAAUCAGAGAAUCUUGAUUCUCGAUCACAGAGUCACAAACACAUAGGAUUCAGAGUCCCCAAGCAUUAGGACUCUUGGUCGAAGAGUCCCAGUCCAGUGGGACUCUUCACCAGCCAUCAGAUCAGAUAGGAACCUCUAAUAUUUGUGACCCCGU